UACAGAGGCCUCGAGCGUUAGGCGGAAUCACUGGGCUUAAAGCGUGUGUAGGUGGAUGCCUAAGUACCUUGUGAAAUCCCAUGGCUUAACCGUGGAACUGCUGGGUAUACUGGGUGUCUUGAGCCACUCAGGGGCUACCGGAACAAACGGUGGAGCGGUGAAAUGCGUAGAUAUCGUUUGGAACGCCAAUGGUGAAAACAGGUAGCUGGGGGUGUGCUGACACUGAGACACGAAAGCCAGGGGAGCAAACGGG
rnacentral:rRNA from 1 species